rnacentral:lncRNA from 12 species
AGUUAAUCUACUUAGGCAGAAAAAAAAUAACAUGACUCUUAGCUAAAAUAGUCACAGCAACAUGGGAAAUGUUUUAGCACCUGCUUUGCAGCUCAUGGGACUUUCUUCUGACCUUGCACAGCUUGGAGAUCACGGGAUAGGUGUGUACAAAGGAACUCUGGAUGGAAGGAGUCUAGAAGGGCAAGAAUGCCUGCAAGGACUAAACCCAAAGGACCAGGGCAGCGGAAGGACAAUAAGGGAGCCAUUAACUAAGAAAGAGAAACCCAAUGAAAAGCAAAAGAGUCUCUGUCUUCCUGGUACCUCUCCACCCACUUUGGAAACUUCUGCGACUAUGCCAAUGACAAAUCCAGCAAGGUUUAAAGUGGUUCCAUCACCAACUGAGAGUCCCACUGUUGGUGAGUUGGUUGUAUACACACUGCAUCAUUAUCUACUCUCUCCUCCUUCCCUCCUGUCUCUGUGA